rnacentral:rRNA from 1 species
GCCCAAAAACUUAUAUACUUUACUUUUAACCUAAAGAAAAUCUUUAAACACAACAGUAUUAUUACAAAAACUUUUUCCUCAAAAAACCGCAAGGGUCACCAACUCCGCUAACCCUAGAAAAGAUAAUUACUCAUCCCUUUUGCAUCAUGGAGAAGCAACAAAAACGCAAAGAUCCUGCACUCCCGAAUAAUUAUGAGCUACUAAAUCCUAAAACUUAAUGUUUCACAAUUAAUCAACUAGCCUUUAGUAGAAGUAACAAGCCUUCCAUAUAAUUUGAUAGCUGGUUUUCCACAAAAAGUAUCUUAGUACUGCCCUAUAAUAAAAUUCACCAUUCUGAACCAUUUAUAGGUGUCAACCUUUUAAGGAUUAGCUCAAAAGGUAUAAUAAGAAAUAACUCAUACCCCCACCUUUUAAGUAGGCUUAAAAGCAGCCACCAAAUAGCGUUCUAGCUAACAUCCACCCGCCAUAAUAUAAAAUCUUAAUUCUAACUUAAAGUGGAAUCUAGUGCUAAACCCACCCACUAACAAACAGGCAUUCUAUUAGUAUUUACAAAACCCCUAUUAAAAACCUAAAUAAAAUUAAUCCAUAAACAACCAUACUCUAAACACAUAUAAAGCGAACUCGGCAAUAAAAUUCCCUGCCUGUUUACCAAAAACAUCGUCUUUUGAAACACCCACAUAAAAGAUAAUGCCUGCCCAGUGAAAAUUUUAAACGGCCGCGUUAGCGUGAGCGUGCUAAGGUAGCGUAAUAAAUAGCCUUUUAAUUGGAGGCCAGUGAAUGGCAAGACUAGGAAUACCUGUACCCUUUAUGGAAAAAAAACUUUUCAUCUGAGUGAAAAGACUCAGAUAACAAAGGAAGACGAAAAGACCCCGCGGAACUUUACCUUUUCCAGCCUUAGCUGCCCACAAACACAAAAGACAAAAGGUUUGAUUGGGGCAAUCUCGGAACAAACCAAGCUUCCGAUCUCCCUUAAAUAAACAUCCAUAACACGAUAAGGACAAAAAAGAAGUUACCCCGGGGAUAACAGCGUAAUCCAGCUCAAGAGUACACAUCCACAUUAGUGCAACCGCUAUGAUAGGAUAGUCUGUUCGACUAUUAUACCCUUACACGAGCUGAGUUAAGACCGGCGCAAGCUAGGUUGGUUUCUAUCUCCUAUGUAUCAAUAAUCUUCCUGAUUGUACGAAAGGACCCCAAGAGAUGCACCUAAAUAAUAAGCAUUUACUUAAACACCAAACUCACUAAAAUAGCAAC